CACAUAUAUACACUCACACAUACAUACACACACGUAUAUACGCUCACACAUACACACACAUAUACACAUUCAUAUACAUACAUACACAUAUACAUUCAUACAUACCUACACGUGCAUGUCAGUGCUUCACCUUUCCUUUCUAAGAGAGAAAAACAUAUUCCGGUUCUGUCCACGCCUUUUUAUUUUAUUUAUAUGAGUCAAAGAACUAGACAACAACGAGCAAAAAAAACGUGUCUAUUUUAUUUUUAACCUCCCCAUAUCAUUCAUUACAUAUCGCUUAGUUCGCUUCUCGAAGCUAAGUCUGUCUGUUCGACCACCACUCAUGUUCACACUGCUGACAACAACGACGACAUCCACAACCACCCUCCUUCAACGCAAUGGCUAUUCUUUGCAAUAACAGAGCCUAACAGAAUCAUCACCAUGAGAGUGUCUGUCAAGUUUAUUAUUUGUGGCUCCCUGAUAUUCUGUGUGAUCUUCUUCAGCUGGUUUCGGUGUCCCAACAUA